CCAACUAAAAGCAGCUAGUGUGCACUGCUGUCAUGGAGAGGAAUGGAACCUCCUCAACACAGGGGAACCUCCCCAGUCCAGGGAAGCGUCCCAACUGUUAAUUUGUUAUCCAGUCUCCUCAUGCACCAUAUUGAAAACAGAGCCUUCAGUUAAUCAUAACUCAGAAACGCAUAGCAAAUUGUAAAAAUGGCCACAUCAUAAAGUCUUCUCAUCCUGUA
rnacentral:lncRNA from 1 species